rnacentral:rRNA from 1 species
UGCAAGUCGUAGCGGUGUGGCCUUUCGGGGUACACGAGCGGCGAACGGGUGAGUAACACGUGGGUGAUCUGCCCUGCACUUCGGGAUAAGCCUGGGAAACUGGGUCUAAUACCGGAUAUGACCUCAGGUUGCAUAACUUGGGGUGGAAAGAUUUAUCGGUGCAGGAUGGGCCCGCGGCCUAUCAGCUUGUUGGUGGGGUAAUGGCCUACCAAGGCGACGACGGGUAGCCGACCUGAGAGGGUGACCGGCCACACUGGGACUGAGACACGGCCCAGACUCCUACGGGAGGCAGCAGUGGGGAAUAUUGCACAAUGGGCGAAAGCCUGAUGCAGCGACGCCGCGUGAGGGAUGACGGCCUUCGGGUUGUAAACCUCUUUCAGCAGGGACGAAGCGCAAGUGACGGUACCUGCAGAAGAAGCACCGGCUAACUACGUGCCAGCAGCCGCGGUAAUACGUAGGGUGCAAGCGUUGUCCGGAAUUACUGGGCGUAAAGAGUUCGUAGGCGGUUUGUCGCGUCGUUUGUGAAAACCAGCAGCUCAACUGCUGGCUUGCAGGCGAUACGGGCAGACUUGAGUACUGCAGGGGAGACUGGAAUUCCUGGUGUAGCGGUGAAAUGCGCAGAUAU